rnacentral:rRNA from 1 species
UACGGAGGGUGCAAGCGUUAUCCGGAUUCACUGGGUUUAAAGGGUGCGUAGGCGGAUAAGUAAGUCAGUGGUGAAAUCUCCGAGCUUAACUCGGAAACUGCCGUUGAUACUAUUUGUCUUGAAUAUUGUGGAGGUAGGCGGAAUAUGUCAUGUAGCGGUGAAAUGCUUAGAUAUGACAUAGAACACCAAUUGCGAAGGCAGCUUACUACACAAUGAUUGACGCUGAGGCACGAAAGCGUGGGGAUCAAACAGG